rnacentral:rRNA from 1 species
AACGAACGCUGGCGGCAGGCUUAACACAUGCAAGUCGAACGAUCUCUUCGGAGAUAGUGGCAGACGGGUGAGUAACGCGUGGGAACCUACCUUAUUCUACGGAAUAACACAGAGAAAUUUGUGCUAAAUACCGUAUACGCCCUUUGGGGGAAAGAUUUAUCGGAGUAAGAUGGGCCCGCGUUGGAUUAGCUAGUUGGUGGGGUAAUGGCCUACCAAGGCGACGAUCUAUAGCUGGUCUGAGAGGAUGAUCAGCCACACUGGGACUGAGACACGGCCCAGACUCCUACGGGAGGCAGCAGUGGGGAAUAUUGGACAAUGGGCGCAAGCCUGAUCCAGCCAUGCCGCGUGAGUGAUGAAGCUAGGUGUAAGCUCUUAGUGAAGAUAAUGACGUAACCGUAGAA